rnacentral:rRNA from 1 species
AGAACGAACGCUGGCGGCAGGCUUAACACAUGCAAGUCGAACGGUUGUAGCAAUACAGCAGUGGCGCACGGGUGAGUAACGCGUGGGAACAUACCUUUCAGUUCGGAAUAACAGCGGGAAACUGCUGCUAAUACCGGAUAUUCUCUCCGGAGGAAAGAUUUAUCGCUGAAAGAUUGGCCCGCGUCAGAUUAGCUAGUUGGUGGGGUAAUGGCCUACCAAGGCUCCGAUCUGUAGCUGGUCUGAGAGGACGACCAGCCACACUGGAACUGAGACACGGUCCAGACUCCUACGGGAGGCAGCAGUGGGGAAUAUUGGACAAUGGGCGAAAGCCUGAUCCAGCCAUGCCGCGUGAGUGAUGAAGGCCUUAGGGUUGUAAAGCUCUUUUGUCAGGGAAGAUAAUGACGGUACCUGAAGAAUAAGCACCGGCUAACUUCGCGCCAGCAGCCGC